GGGCUCACAAAUUAUAAUUACAAAUGUCCAAUCUUAAAACACUUCAGAAACUCAUUCAAAAACAUAUUUGCACUGCGAGAAAUGUAAAAAACAAGAAUAGAUGAGAAUGUUGGAACUAUCCACAUCAAUAUCUUUAAGACAUGUACAGCUUUGCAAAACCAUGUUAAGGCGAUGCAUACAGGCAACUUGCAACAAUAUUUUAAAUAUUUUCUUGUCUAUUACUCAUGACAUAGGUUUAAAAACUAUUAAUUGAUCCCCUUUCAGAACACUGCUUUCAGUAACUCAUUUAAACAUAUUUGCACUGGGAGGAAAUGCCCAAAACAGAGUAGAGUGUCAAAAAAAUCGGCAGUAAUUAUUCGUUUUUAUUUUUCUUUCUCAGGUGUGCCAAUGAUUAUGCUGCCACGUGCCAGUGGUGGCCUCCGACGUGAAGCUUGAGGAACCCAUGCCAGCAGAUUUACCAGUCUACGGUGUGUGUGUGUCUGUGUGUGUGCGUGUGUUUGUGUUUGUGUGUGCAGACCUUCUCAGGGGUACAGACCUUCUAACAAUAAUAAUAAUAAUAAUUCAUUCAUUUUCUAUAGCGCUUUUCAGCUUGGGAAAAGAGGUAGGUUUUUAAACGGGAUUUGAAUAUGGGAAGCGAGGGAGAGUUGCGGACAGAUUGGGGGAGAGAGUUCCAGAGUCGGGGUGCUGUUCUUGAGAAGGCUCUGUCACCGAAGGUUUUAAGUUUGGUUGGUCGGACGGUCAGAGUGAGAGUGGAGGAGGAUCUGAGGGUUCAGGAGGGGAGAUGGGGGAUGAGGAGGUCAGACAGGUAGGGCGGGCAAGGUGGUGGAGAGCCUUGAAAGUCAGGAGGAGGAUUUUGAAGUUGAUGCGUUGUGUGAUAGGGAGCCAGUGGAGAGUGAAGAGAACAAGAGUGAUGUGUUCAUGAGAACGUUUGUGGGUUAGAAGGCGCGCAGCAGAGUUUUGGACCAUUUGGAGUCUAUGGCGGGAAUGAGAGGUGAUGCCAGUGAGGAGGGAGUUGCAGUAAGUCAAGACGGGACGAGAUGAAGGCGUGGGUAAGGGAUUCAGCAGCAGGGGGGACAGGCAGUGUCUGAUUUUGGCGAUGCGGCGGAGGUGGAAGUAGGAGGUCUUAACAAUGGAGCUGACAUGGGGAACAAAGGAGCCGGUGGGGUCCAUGGUAACACCAAGAUUGCGGGCCAGGGGGGAGGGAGUGAUGGUCGAGGGGUCGAUGGUGAGUGAGAUGGGUCCAGUUUUUUUGAGAGUGGAUUUGGUGCCUAUGAGGAGGAGCUCUGUUUUGUCGCUAAUGAGUUUGAGGGAAAUUGAGGGUCAGCCAUGCUUUUAUUGUAGAGAUGCAGGUUUCGAGUUGGGUGAGGGGGGGAUUUUGGGUGGGUUUGGUGGUGAUGUAGAUCGGGGUGUCAUCAGCGUAGCAAUGGAAGUCCAGGUUGAGGUGGCGGAUGAUGUGACCGAGGGGGAAGAGGUAGCAGAUGAAAAGAAGGGGGCCGAGGACUGAGCCCUGAGGGACCCCCUGCGUGACAGGAGAGAGGGUGGAUGUGUGGCCAGAGAGCGAGACGAACGGUUGCCUGUCGGUGAAGUAGGAGGAGAGCCAGUCGAGUGCAGUGCCCUCAAUACCCUGUUGACGCAGCCUUUUAAGGAGGGUGGAAUGGUUGAACAUAUCAAAGGCUGCGCUGAGGUCAAGUAAUAGCAGGAUGUUGAGGGCACCGGAGUCUGCAGAGGUGAGGAGAUCACUAGUGACUUUGACCAGGGCAGUUUCUGUGCUGUGAAGUGGGCAGAAGCCAGACUGAAGGGGUCCAUAGAGUUUGAACUGGUCGGAAGCAGUUAGGGUGAUGUGUCUUGCUCAGGGACAUCUCGACACUUUGCUUUCAGGGGUGUCUGGGCCUCUGGGGGGACUCCACUGGCCACCAGAGGGUCUGGUUCGCUGGUUUGCUGCCUGCUGGCCCCCGGUGGUGGACGGGUGUUACCAUAAAUGGGGCAGGUCAUCUCUUAAGGAAAACCAAGCAAAAAAGAUGCAGGCCUAUUAUGAUUAUUUGAAACACAUGAUAAUUAUCGGACAGUUGGGCCACUGGGUACGAUCUCAAAUUCCGAAAAGGCACAUUACUUGCUUAAAUGUUAUCAGAG
ensembl:lncRNA